AAAUAGAAAGAGGACGACAAGGGAGAUAAAAACAGCAAACCCAUGAUGAAAAAAGCCUAUGCCGGUGGUUUUCAUUGGAUCUAGAAAGAUUUAGCAUAAAUUUUCUAUUCUGGUGGAGGUUGGUGGUUGAAAGUGCGAGUGGGGUGUGUGCGCCGGAGACGGAGGAGGAAUGACGGUGUGACUGAGGGGAAAUAGAGUUUGGGAAGAAUAUGUAUAUAUGAAGAGGGAGGGAGGGAGGGAGGGAGAGAGAGAGAGAGGCAGGAG
rnacentral:lncRNA from 1 species